GCGCUGGUGGUGCAAUGGUUCAGCACACGCUCCUCAAAAGAGUAAGAUCGGAGUUUGAGUCUCGGCUGACGCA